rnacentral:lncRNA from 1 species
GGGCAUUUGAUUUGUACUGUAAUUUUACUAAUGUCUUUUGCAGAGGUGGGGAUUACAAUUAGAAAUAAGUCAAUAAUGUGUUUUCUGGCUUGGUAUUAUUUUCCUAACUUCUGAACUACAUCUGAAAAGUACAUGGAAGUUGUGUAUCUGCUUUCUUAGCAUCAUCUUGUUUUUUUAUCCUCCCUCUGUACCAGGGAUUGAAUCCAGGGCACUUAACCAUGAGCCACAUCACCAACCCACUCCCCCCCUUUUUUUCUUUUAUUUUGGGCGGGGCGGGGGGGGGUACAGGGGAUUGAACGCCAGGGCACUUAACCACUAAGCCACACUCCCAGCCCCCUAUUUUGUAUUUUAUUUAGAGACAGCAUCUCAUUGAGUUGCUUAGCACCUUGCUUUUGCUGAGGUUGGAUUUGAACUUGCCAUUCUCCUGCCUCAGCCUCCCAAGCAGCUGUAACUAUAGGUGUACACCAUUGAACCCAGCUUUUAGCAUCAUCUUUUUCCUUCAGAAUCAUUCUCUUUAAAAUCAGGAGUCUAACACAUUCCCCAUCAUUCCUACCCCCCUACCCCUUUGCCCCCUCCUUUUCUGCUCCCUCCCCUUUGCCCUAUCUAAAGUUCUUCCAUUCCUUUCCCAUGCCCCACCCCCAUUGCCAUUAUGGGUCUGCAUGCUCAUAUCAAAGGAAAUAUUCCAGCCUUUGGUUUUGGGGGAUUGGCUUGCUUCACUUAGCAUUGUAUUCUCCAACUACAUCCCAUUUACCUGCAAAUGCCAUGAUUUUAUUCUCUUAAUGCUGAGUAAUGUUCCAUUGUGUAAGUAUACCAAAGUUUUCCUAUCCAUUCAUCUAUUGAAGGGGAUGGUGGAAUGAGUUAGACAUCAUUACCCCAAGAACAUGUAUAAGACACGAAUGGUGUGAAAAUACUUUGUGUACAACCAGUGUCGUGAAAAAUUGUGUUCUAUAUGUGUAAUUUGAAAUGAAUUGCAUUCUUCCAUCAUGUAUAACAAAUCAGAAUAAAUAAAUUUUUAAAAAGCCAAAGAGAAAAAGUUAAAAACAGCCUCAUCUUAUGGCAUUUUUAUAAAAGGACCCAAAUACAUAUUGCCUCCCUUUCUAUUGUAAAUAAUUUAC